AGGGUUCGAUCCUGGCUCAGGAUGAACGCUGGCGGCGUGCUUAACACAUGCAAGUCGAACGAACCUUCGGGUUAGUGGCGGACGGGUGAGUAACGCGUGAGAAUCUGCCCUCAGGAGGGGGAUAACGGUUGGAAACGACCGCUAAUACCCCAUAUGCCUAUUGGUGAAAUGAAUUUCGCCUGAGGAUGAGCUCGCGUCUGAUUAGCUUGUUGGUGAGGUAAUGGCUCACCAAGGCUUCGAUCAGUAGCUGGUCUGAGAGGAUGAUCAGCCACACUGGGACUGAGACACGGCCCAGACUCCUACGGGAGGCAGCAGUGGGGAAUUUUCCGCAAUGGGCGAAAGCCUGACGGAGCAACGCCGCGUGAGGGACGAAGGCCUCUGGGCUGUAAACCUCUUUUCUCAAGGAAGAAGAUAUGACGGUACUUGAGGAAUAAGCCACGGCUAAUUCCGUGCCAGCAGCCGCGGUAAUAC
rnacentral:rRNA from 1 species